rnacentral:lncRNA from 1 species
GAGCCGCCGCCGGGGCUGUAGGCGCCAAGGCCAUGUCCGACUCGUGGGUCCCGAACUCCGCCUCGGGCCAGGACCCAGGGGGCCGCCGGAGGGCCUGGGCCGAGCUGCUGGGUAGGUGGGCGCGGCAGGCCGCGGGAGUGGGCGGCGUCCGGCCCGGGACGGUUUCGCCGGUUCCCCGAUCCCUUCCCGCCAGAGCCUCCGCCGGUCGGAUCCCCGGACGCCGCGCCCGGGGGGCUGUGCGGGGUGGGCGCCCGGCUGGGGCGGCGCGGCUGCCUCGGACCCGGCCCCUCCUGCGCCUGGGCGGACGCCCCCAGCCGCCGCCCGCGGGGCGCUCCCUUCUUUCCCGAACGCCGCCCCCGCCGGCCGCCCUGUCAGGCGGGCCUGGGGUGCGCGGCCUGGGGCUCCCCUCAGCGCAGAGGCCGCCCCUCGCCAGCCGUCCCCGGGCUCCCCUGCCUCGGGCCCUCCUGGGCCGUCUUCCCCGGCGUCCGCGGUGGGGCCGUCUCCGUUAGUUUCCCGAGACCUGCGCCCUGGGGAGGAGCCCCGGCCCCUCUUCGGGAGGGUGUCGCUGGUGGGUUUCUCCGCGGCGUCCACCUGCGCGUCGGGCCGGGGACCCCGUGUGUGAAUUGUGCUGUGAUGGUUUCGAACCGACUUCUCUCCGUAGCGGGAAGGGUCAAGAGGGAAAAAUAUAAUCCUGAAAGGGCACAGAAAUUAAAGGAAUCAGCUGUGCGCCUCCUGCGAAGCCAUCAGGACCUGAAUGCCCUUUUGCUUGAGGUAGAAGGUCCACUGUGUAAAAAAUUGUCUCUCAGCAAAGUGAUUGACUGUGACAGUUCUGAGGCCUAUGCUAAUCAUUCUAGUUCAUUUAUAGGCUCUGCUUUGCAGGAUCAAGCCUCAAGGCUGGGGGUUCCCGUGGGUAUUCUCUCAGCCGGGAUGGUUGCCUCUAGCGUGGGACAGAUCUGCACGGCUCCAGCGGAGACCAGUCACCCUGUGCUGCUGACUGUGGAGCAGAGAAAGAAGCUGUCUUCCCUGUUAGAGUUUGCUCAGUAUUUAUUGGCACACAGUAUGUUCUCCCGUCUUUCCUUCUGUCAAGAAUUAUGGAAAAUACAGAGUUCUUUGUUGCUUGAAGCGGUGUGGCAUCUUCACGUACAAGGCAUUGUGAGCCUGCAAGAGCUGCUGGAAAGCCAUCCCGACAUGCAUGCUGUGGGAUCGUGGCUCUUCAGGAAUCUGUGCUGCCUUUGUGAACAGAUGGAAGCAUCCUGCCAGCAUGCUGACGUCGCCAGGGCCAUGCUUUCUGAUUUUGUUCAAAUGUUUGUUUUGAGGGGAUUUCAGAAAAACUCAGAUCUGAGAAGAACUGUGGAGCCUGAAAAAAUGCCGCAGGUCACGGUUGAUGUACUGCAGAGAAUGCUGAUUUUUGCACUUGACGCUUUGGCUGCUGGAGUACAGGAGGAGUCCUCCACUCACAAGAUCGUGAGGUGCUGAGCUUCAGCAGCCCGCUCCUGAGCACACUUCCUCUGCCAGUUACGAUAACGUGCGUGAGGAGGAGGCGACCAUGGGAAAGCCCGGGGAACGCUCUGGUCAGCCUUUUCCUGUGAGGAUGAGGUCGGAAGGUGCGCCCACUGCAGUAUCCUGUUCCGCCUCUGGAAGUCCUGCACCAAUGUUUGUCCCACUCACUGUGACCUCCUCCUGUGUGGAGUCUCCCCUUGCUCCUCCUUCCCUGGGUGUGAUUCAGGCUCUAGAGCUGGCCCUGCCUCUCAGCCCCCCACAUUUCUAGAACACACUGUAGCUGUGCCUCUACAGACUCCCGCUGCCUGGCCUCCACAGAUCCUGCUCAGAUUCACCAGUAGGCAAAGCUUGGCCCUAUUAGCUUUUUCUCUCCAUGGCUCUGUGGAGAUGUGCGGAGACCCUUACAGGUCGGGAGGCGGAAGCUGAGGAGUGGGGGCUGGGUGGAAGGUGGACAUCGGGGUUUGGUGGAAAUGGGGCUCUGGGGUUUGCUUCCCUCUAGUGUGGGCAGGGGACCUUGAAGUGAAGUCUUGAGAAACCAGUAGAAUUUGCCACUGUUUCCAGGCCUUGUCAACCUUUUCAUUCUUUAUUUUGCUCCUCAUUUCCCAUCCCUCACAGUAACUGUUUAACUGCUCAAUUAAAUGUGUUGUACCGUUCGGUACUUUUACUGAAACAGUGAAUAAAGCACUGUGUGAUUUCCUGAA